GCAUGGUCAUGAUCAUGGUC
rnacentral:miRNA from 1 species